ACAGGCUGUGUGCCAUAACCUAUGACAGAAAAGCACCAGCAGAGUGAGGCACCGCGAGGGAAGAGCUUGCACAUACAGAACAUAAAGCCACAGCACACACGCUGAAAGGCAUCUGUCUAUCUAGUGGGCUCUCUCCAGUCCACUCCGGCACGUGCCAGUUAGAAUUCCCAGUGACCCUGUCUCAGCCCUUUAUCUGAUACAUAUCAUCCCUGGAAUGAGUUUAAAGGAUCAACCCCUCAGGCGCAACAGGCACCUGUCCCAAUUCUUUUGGGGCCUCUAUGUCACUUCCUGUCGUGUUUGCCUUCUUUCCUGCUUUGGGUCCCAUCAGCUGACGAAUGCACAUGAAAUCCCCUCGUAUUUCUACCUUAUACCCAACACUCUGGGUACAGAAUACCAUAAUGGGUUCCUCAUUUUUUCCAUCUAUCAUCUCCCCCAACUUCAGACAGCUUUUAAAUAAUACUUUUUAAAUU
rnacentral:lncRNA from 1 species